rnacentral:rRNA from 1 species
AACGAACGCUGGCGGCAUGCCUAACACAUGCAAGUCGAACGAGACCUUCGGGUCUAGUGGCGCACGGGUGCGUAACGCGUGGGAACCUGCCCUUAGGUUCGGAAUAACUCCCCGAAAGGGGUGCUAAUACCGGAUAAUGUCUUCGGACCAAAGAUUUAUCGCCUUUGGAUGGGCCCGCGUUGGAUUAGCUAGUUGGUAGUGUAAAAGCCUACCAAGGCUACGAUCCAUAGCUGGUCUGAGAGGAUGAUCAGCCACACUGGGACUGAGACACGGCCCAGACUCCUACGGGAGGCAGCAGUGGGGAAUAUUGGAAAAUGGGCGAAAGCCUGAUCCAGCAAUGCCGCGUGAGUGAUGAAGGCCUUAGGGUUGUAAAGCUCUUUUACCCGGGAUGAUAAUGACAGUACCGGGAGAAUAAGCUCCGGCUAACUCCGUG